rnacentral:rRNA from 1 species
GUGGAUGAGUGGCGAACGGGUGAGUAACACGUGAGUAACCUGCCCCUGAUUUCGGGAUAAGCCUGGGAAACUGGGUCUAAUACCGGAUACGACCUCCUGACGCAUGUUGGGUGGUGGAAAGUUUUUCGAUCGGGGAUGGGCUCGCGGCCUAUCAGCUUGUUGGUGGGGUAAUGGCCUACCAAGGCGACGACGGGUAGCCGGCCUGAGAGGGCGACCGGCCACACUGGGACUGAGACACGGCCCAGACUCCUACGGGAGGCAGCAGUGGGGAAUAUUGCACAAUGGGGGAAACCCUGAUGCAGCGACGCAGCGUGCGGGAUGACGGCCUUCGGGUUGUAAACCGCUUUCAGCAGGGAAGAAGCGAAAGUGACGGUACCUGCAGAAGAAGUACCGGCUAACUACGUGCCAGCAGCCGCGGUAAUACGUAGGGUACGAGCGUUGUCCGGAAUUAUUGGGCGUAAAGAGCUCGUAGGUGGUUGGUCACGUCUGCUGUGGAAACGCAACGCUUAACGUUGCGCGUGCAGUGGGUACGGGCUGACUAGAGUGCAGUAGGGGAGUCUGGAAUUCCUGGUGUAGCGGUGAAAUGCGCAGAUAUCAGGAGGAACACCGGUGGCGAAGGC